rnacentral:misc_RNA from 1 species
GUGCAACAUCUGCAAAAGACAGAACCAAAAAGUGGAAGAACCAUGAAGCAUAUGCCAAAAAAAGGUGACCAGAUUUCUUAUAUAUUCAUGUCAUUAUCAACAACUUAUACGAGAAUACCUACUACAGGCAAGAACUGAUAGUUAAUCAAACUUUGGUUAAGAUUGUCAAACUUCAGACAAUUCCAGAACCCAAAUUUCAAGAGAAGCCGGAAAACUUUGUAACAACUUUACAUUAGUGUAGUUGAAAUUGACAAGCUUUCAAUAUAACACUUCGGCCAUUGACUACUUCAGUCUCAACUGGUACAUCCUCAUCUUAGAUUAUUGCAGAGAACCAUUAUUUUAGAAAGAAGAAUGCAGCCCCCAAAAUGUUAGACAUGAACAUAAAAGCCCUGCUCAGUGGGCUAAAUUACAUCCGUGGUCACUGAAACUUGUACUUAAUUUCAAUUGACGCUCAAAUCUGCAAUUUGUAUUAAUCUGUUCAUCAAACUUCAAUUUUUAUUAAUGUGGCUACCAUUUUUUUUUUCUUUCUUAGCCUCAAUUUUUCUGUUUUCUCCACUUUCUCCCUUUGCUCUCUCAAAUAUGGCAGCCUAGUCAACUUUCCGAAGGGUCUGUCACUAAAUUAUGGUCACUAUGAUUUUUUUAAGAUUAAAUUGAAGUUUAAAGACCAAAUUAAAAAAAAAUUAAAUAAAUAAAUA